AACCCUACAUGCAUUGAAGCAACUGCCAUGUGAUUGGUUGACUAGAUAAUCGCAUUAAUGAGAAAUAGAACAGGUGUUCCUAAUAAUUCUUUAGGUGAGUGUAUUCUGCAACACGGAUCGUUACCUUCCUUGCAGUGCAGAUUACAAACCUUAUAUCAUUUCAUAUUUCCAAAUGGCAAUUUAUGCAGAAUCAUCUCUAACUAGCAUUGAAUAACCUAAUGUCAUUCUUUCUACAAGAGAAGAAAGCUUGUUCCAAUAUAUAGAUCUGCUGAUAGCUACUCUCUCUAAAGUGUUCAAGGUGCCCAGCUGCUCCCUUACUCUCUCCGCAGCCAUCUUGUGCUGUCAGGUGAUCAGUUCUCCAAUCAAAAUCCUCUUCAGCACCUCAAGGAUUUCAGACUGCUCCAACUGCAUCUGUAACUUAGGACGACUGUUCAACUUUACUUGUUCAUUUUGCCUGUUUUUGUUGACUGUUUUGGAGUUAUCAAAGUUUGAUAGAUCAUGGCAACAACACUGUUCACCUCGUUCAAGUUACCAGUUAAUUUAGUUUCCAGUUAAUGGCUGCUUUGAGAAGAUUAAGAAUGUAGAAGAUCACAGACUGCUGUCUAUUGAAUUUACAGAUUUCUUGACGGUACGUUUUUGUUUUGCUGUUUACAUUAGUACUUU